rnacentral:rRNA from 1 species
GAUGAACGCUGGCGGCGUGCCUAAUACAUGCAAGUCGAGCGAACGGACGAGAAGCUUGCUUCUCUGAUGUUAGCGGCGGACGGGUGAGUAACACGUGGAUAACCUACCUAUAAGACUGGGAUAACUUCGGGAAACCGGAGCUAAUACCGGAUAAUAUUUUGAACCGCAUGGUUCAAAAGUGAAAGACGGUCUUGCUGUCACUUAUAGAUGGAUCCGCGCUGCAUUAGCUAGUUGGUAAGGUAACGGCUUACCAAGGCAACGAUGCAUAGCCGACCUGAGAGGGUGAUCGGCCACACUGGAACUGAGACACGGUCCAGACUCCUACGGGAGGCAACAGUAGGGAAUCUUCCGCAAUGGGCGAAAGCCUGACGGAGCAACGCCGCGUGAGUGAUGAAGGUCUUCGGAUCGUAAACCUCUGUUAUUAGGGAAGAACAUAUGUGUAAGUAACUGUGCACAUCUUGACGGUACCUAAUCAGAAAGCCACGGCUAACUACGUG